UUUAUAAAGAGUUUGAUCCUGGCUCAGGAUGAACGCUGGCGGCGUGCCUAACACAUGCAAGUCGAGCGGUAUAUAUCUGAACAAAUCUUCGGAAGAGUGAAGGUAUAGAGAGCGGCGGACGGGUGAGUAACGCGUAGGCAACCUGCCCCAUACAGAGGGAUAGCCUCGGGAAACCGGGAUUAAAACCUCAUAACGCGAAAGAUUCACAUGAGUCUUUCGCCAAAGAUUUAUCGGUAUGGGAUGGGCCUGCGUCUGAUUAGCUAGUUGGUAAGGUAACGGCUUACCAAGGCAACGAUC
rnacentral:rRNA from 1 species